rnacentral:rRNA from 1 species
CCUACGGGGUGCAGCAGUGAGGAAUAUUGGUCAAUGGACGAGAGUCUGAACCAGCCAAGUAGCGUGAAGGAUGACUGCCCUAUGGGUUGUAAACUUCUUUUAUAAAGGAAUAAAACGAGGCACGUGUGCCUUUUUGCAUGUACUUUAUGAAUAAGGAUCGGCUAACUCCGUGCCAGCAGCCGCGGUAAUACGGAGGAUCCGAGCGUUAUCCGGAUUUAUUGGGUUUAAAGGGAGCGUAGAUGGGUUGUUAAGUCAGUGGUGAAAGUUUGCGGCUCAACCGUAAAAUUGCAAUUGAUACUGGCAGUCUUGAGUACAGUUGAGGUAGGCGGAAUGCGUGGUGUAGCGGUGAAAUGCUUAGAGAUCACGAAGAACCCCGAUUGCGAAGGCAGCUUACUAAACUGUGACUGACGUUGAUGCUCGAAAGUGUGGGGAGCAAACAGGAUUAGAUACCCUAGUAGUC